rnacentral:rRNA from 1 species
GAUGAACGCUAGCUACAGGCUUAACACAUGCAAGUCGAGGGGCAUCAGGAAGAAAGCUUGCUUUCUUUGCUGGCGACCGGCGCACGGGUGAGUAACACGUAUCCAACCUGCCCUUUACUCGGGGAUAGCCUUUCGAAAGAAAGAUUAAUACCCGAUGGCAUAAUGAUUCCGCAUGGUUUCAUUAUUAAAGGAUUCCGGUAAAGGAUGGGGAUGCGUUCCAUUAGGUUGUUGGUGAGGUAACGGCUCACCAAGCCUUCGAUGGAUAGGGGUUCUGAGAGGAAGGUCCCCCACAUUGGAACUGAGACACGGUCCAAACUCCUACGGGAGGCAGCAGUGAGGAAUAUUGGUCAAUGGGCGCUAGCCUGAACCAGCCAAGUAGCGUGAAGGAUGAAGGCUCUAUGGGUCGUAAACUUCUUUUAUAUAAGAAUAAAGUGCAGUAUGUAUACUGUUUUGUAUGUAUUAUAUGAAUAAGGAUCGGCUAACUCCGUGCCAGCAGCCGCGGUAAUACGGAGGAUCCGAGCGUUAUCCGGAUUUAUUGGGUUUAAAGGGAGCGUAGGUGGACUGGUAAGUCAGUUGUGAAAGUUUGCGGCUCAACCGUAAAAUUGCAGUUGAUACUGUCAGUCUUGAGUACAGUAGAGGUGGGCGGAAUUCGUGGUGUAGCGGUGAAAUGCUUAGAUAUCACGAAGAACUCCGAUUGCGAAGGCAGCUCACUGGACUGCAACUGACACUGAUGCUCAAAAGGUGUGGGUAUCAAACAGG